rnacentral:rRNA from 1 species
AGAGUUGAUCCUGGCUCAGGAUGAACGCUGGCGGCAUGCCUAACACAUGCAAGUCGAACGGAGCUAUGAUGGAGCUUGCUUUUUAUAGCUUAGUGGCGGACGGGUGAGUAACGCGUGAGGAAUCUGCCCUCGAGUGGGGAAUAACACCGAGAAAUCGGUGCUAAUACCGCAUAACGUCUUCGGAUCGCAUGUUCUGAAGACCAAAGGAUUUAUUCGCUUGAGGAUGAUCUCGCGUCCGAUUAGUUAGUUGGUGAGGUAACGGCUCACCAAGACCGCGAUCGGUAGCCGAACUGAGAGGUUGAACGGCCACAUUGGGACUGAGAGACGGCCCAAACUCCUACGGGAGGCAGCAGUAGGGAAUUUUCGGCAAUGGGGGAAACCCUGAACCCGAGCAACGCCGCGUGAACGACGAAGUACUUCGGUAUGUAAAGUUCUUUUAAGAGGGAAGAAUGGCCCGUGGAAAAGCGGGCGUGACGGUACCUUUUGAAUAAGCCCCGGCUAACUAUGUGCCAGCAGCCGC